CGGUGUCGCUGUGUGUGCGUGUGUUUGAGCAUUCAUGAGAUUGUGCUUUCUAUUUUGUUUUUUAACAUCCUUCCUGAUGGUGCUUGCUUUUGUGACGGCCACAAUACUUUGGACCGACUUCUUCAGGGAAUGGUCUGCGAUGAUGCCAUCAUCCUCUUCCUGGAUCACGUCUGCACUCAGACGCCGUGGGCUCCUGGGAACAAGGUGGGCUCUCUGUCCCUGUGGGCAUUAUGUAUCGCUGUCUCCACUGAGCAUACAGGUCCCCUGCCCACUCACACAGCUCUGGGAGAUCUUCUCGACGUGUAUUCUUGUCAGGAGCAUCGUUAGCAUGAAAAUGAGUUUUAAAAAUAUGUUCUCCUGGAGGCGAGAACCUGACCCUGAAGAGUUCUGCGCUGUGUUGAAGCCGGCUAAAUUGGGAGACGAGAAGUGACUUCGGAUCUGAGUAUAGAGCUCAGCUCGCAUAGUGAGUGCAACAAAAGGAAAUGAAACAUUUAACAAAUAAAUAUAAGUUGAAACAAAUACAAACAAAACAAAUUAACAAAACAAAAAUAAGGUCCGGAAGUAAAAAUAAAAAGAAAAACCCACCCACGCAGUAAUGCUGGGAAAGAGAAGAACCCAACAACUUGGAUAAAUAAAUAUUCUCUAGUUAAAUAUU